GACGAACGCUGGCGGCGUGCUUAACACAUGCAAGUCGAACGGAAAGGCCCUGCUUUUGUGGGGUGCUCGAGUGGCGAACGGGUGAGUAACACGUGAGUAACCUGCCCUUGACUUUGGGAUAACUUCAGGAAACUGGGGCUAAUACCGGAUAGGAGCUCCUGCUGCAUGGUGGGGGUUGGAAAGUUUCGGCGGUUGGGGAUGGACUCGCGGCUUAUCAGCUUGUUGGUGGGGUAGUGGCUUACCAAGGCUUUGACGGGUAGCCGGCCUGAGAGGGUGACCGGCCACAUUGGGACUGAGAUACGACCCAGACUCCUACGGGAGGCAGCAGUGGGGAAUAUUGCACAAUGGGCGGAAGCCUGAUGCAGCAACGCCGCGUGCGGGAUGACGGCCUUCGGGUUGUAAACCGCUUUCGCCUGUGACGAAGCGUGAGUGGCGGUAAUGGGUAAAGAAGCACCGGCUAACUACGUG
rnacentral:rRNA from 1 species